AGAGUUUGAUCCUGGCUCAGGAUGAACGCUGGCGGCAUGCCUAAUACAUGCAAGUCGAACGAGGAUCCUUCGGGAUCCUAGUGGCGAACGGGUGAGUAACACGUAGGGAACCUGCCCGCGCACCGGGAAUACGCUCUGGAAACGGAGAACAAAUCCCGAUGUACAGGAAGGAGGCAUCUUCUUUCUGUGAAACAUCCUGUAAGGGAUGGGGCGCGGAUGGACCUGCGGUGCAUUAGUUAGUUGGCGAGGGUAAAGGCCCACCAAGACGAUGAUGCAUAGCCGGCCUGAGAGGGCGGACGGCCACAUUGGGACUGAGACACGGCCCAGACUCCUGCGGGAGGCAGCAGUAGGGAAUUUUCGUCAAUGGGCGCAAGCCUGAACGAGCGAUGCCGCGUGAGUGAAGAAGGCCUUCGGGUCGUAAAGCUCUGUUGCGGGGGAAAAAAGGCAACUACAGGAAAUGGUAGAUGACAGAUGGUGCCCCGCCAGAAAGUCACGGCUAACUACGUGCCAGCAGCCGCGGUAAUACGUAGGUGGCGAGCGUUAUCCGGAAUGAUUGGGCGUAAAGGGUGCGCAGGCGGUCCUGCAAGUCUGGAGUGAAACGUAUGCGCUCAACUCAUGCAUGGCUCUGGAAACUGGAGGACUGGAGAGCAGGAGAGGGCGGUGGAACUCCAUGUGUAGCGGUAAAAUGC
rnacentral:rRNA from 1 species